UACGUAGGGUGCAAGCGUUGUCCGGAAUUAUUGGGCGUAAAGAGCUCGUAGGCGGUUUGUCGCGUCUGCUGUGAAAACUGGGGGCUCAACCCCCAGCCUGCAGUGGGUACGGGCAGACUAGAGUGCGGUAGGGGAGAUUGGAAUUCCUGGUGUAGCGGUGAAAUGCGCAGAUAUCAGGAAGAACACCCGUGGCGAAGGCGGUUCUCUGGAACGCAACUGACGCUGAGACGCGAAAGCGUGGGGAGCAAACAGG
rnacentral:rRNA from 1 species